UAAGGAAUAUUGGUCAAUGCUCGCAAGAGUGAACCAGCCAUUCCGCGUGGAGGAUGAAGGCCCUAUGGGUUGUAAACUUCUUUUAGAUGGGAAUAAAAUAAUUGAUUUAUCAGUUACUGAAGGUACCAUCGGAAUAAGCACCGGCUAACUCCGUGCCAGCAGCCGCGGUAAUACGGAGGGUGCGAGCGUUAUCCGGAAUUACUGGGUUUAAAGGGUGCGUAGGCGGGAUAUUAAGUCUAAGGUGAAAGUUUGUAGCUUAACUAUAAAAAUGCCUUAGAUACUGAUAUUCUUGAAUUAAAUUGAGGAUAGCGGAAUGUGACAUGUAGCGGUGAAAUGCAUAGAUAUGUCAUAGAACACCAAUUGCGAAGGCAGCUAUCUGGGUUUAAAUUGACGCUGAGGC
rnacentral:rRNA from 1 species